GUUAUGCAGUAGUAGAAAAUUUGAAAUAGGCACCCCCCCUUUAGCACCGGUUCUUGAAAACCGGUGCCAAAAUAAAUGGGCGGGAUUGGAAAUUUCAGAGUUGGCACCGGUUCCAACCUAAACCGGUGCCAAAUCCUUUAAUUAGCACCGGUUCAAACCGGUGCCAACCAUUUAAAAAAAAAAAAAAAAAAAAAAAACAAAAGAAGGGAAUGGAGUUGGCACUGGUUUAGAUCGAACCGGUGGCAAUUAUUGCAAUUAGCUCCGGUUCGAACCGGUACCAUUUAAAACAACAAAAAGCCGAGUUUUUUACAUAACUCCUUCAUUUCUUCUUCAAUUCGUUUUUCAUUCUCUCUUAGCUCUCUGAAAGAAAAUGCAUGCCUCUCUCCUUCAUUUCCUUAUCUCUCAUCUCUCAUCUCUGUUCUUCUCUCUCCAACUAAGCACCACAACCAACACAACAACCAAGCCGCCGCCGUCAACCACAACAAACAUCGCCGCCGCCUAAAAUCAAAAAUUUGAGGUUUGAAGUUUCUGAUUUUUUAAUUUUCGGUUUGAAGGUCGUGAAUUUGCUGAGUUUGAAGUUCGAAGUUCGAAGUUUCUGGGUUGUAAAUUGUAAAAUUACAAAUUCAGCAAUUUUUCUUUUUUUUUUAAUAAGUUGUAAAAUAACAAUUUAUUUGAUGAAUAUAGCCUUGUUCGAUUUCUUGUUUUGGAUUGUAUGCUGAAAUUUUCAUUGAAGGCUUAA